rnacentral:rRNA from 1 species
GACGAACGCUGGCGGCGUGCUUAACACAUGCAAGUCGAACGGAAAGGCCCUGCUUUUGUGGGGUGCUCGAUUGGCGAACGGGUGAGUAACACGUGAGUAACCUGCCCUUGACUUUGUGAUAACUUCAGGGAACUGGGGCUAAUACCGGAUAGGAUCUCCUGCUGCAUGGUGUGGGUUGGAGAGUUUCGGCGGUUGUGGAUGGACUCGCGGCUUAUCAGCUUGUUGGUCGGGUAGUGGCUUACCAAGGGUUUGACGGGUAGCCGGCCUGAGAGGGUGACCGGGCACAUUGGGACUGAGAUACGGACCAGAAUCCUACGGGAGGCAGCAGUCGGGAAUAUUGCACAAUGGGCGGACGUCUGAGGCAGAAACGCUGCGUGCGGGAUGACGGCUUUCGGGUUGUAAACAGAUUUCGAAUGUGAUGAAGAGGGAUUGACGGUAAUGGGUAAAGAAGCACCGGCUAACUACGUG